rnacentral:rRNA from 1 species
UGCAGUCGAGGGGCAGCAUAAUGGUAGUAAUACUAUUGAUGGCGACCGGCGGACGGGUGCGUAACGCGUAUGCAACCUACCCUUUACAGGGGGAUAACACUGAGAAAUCGGUACUAAUACCCCAUAAUAUUCUGGGAGGCAUCUUUCGGAGUUGAAAGCUUUGGUGGUAAAGGAUGGGCAUGCGUUGUAUUAGCUAGUUGGUAAGGUAACGGCUUACCAAGGCGACGAUACAUAGGGGGACUGAGAGGUUAACCCCCCACAUUGGUACUGAGACACGGACCAAACUCCUACGGGAGGCAGCAGUGAGGAAUAUUGGUCAAUGGACGGAAGUCUGAACCAGCCAUGCCGCGUGCAGGAAGACGGCUCUAUGAGUUGUAAACUGCUUUUGUACGAGGGUAAACGCAGAUACGUGUAUCUGCCUGAAAGUAUCGUACGAAUAAGGAUCGGCUAACU